rnacentral:rRNA from 1 species
UGCCAGCCGCCGCGGUAAUACGGAGGAAGCGAGCGUUAAUCGGAAUUACUGGGCGUAGAGCGCGCGUAGGCGGCUUUGUAAGUCGGAUGUGAAAGCCCUGGGCUCAACCUGGGAAUUGCAUUCGAUACUGCAUGGCUAGAGUAUGGUAGAGGGAAGUGGAAUUUCCGGUGUAGCGGUGAAAUGCGUAGAUAUCGGAAGGAACACCGGUGGCGAAGGCGACUUCCUGGGCCAAUACUGACGCCGAGGAGCGAAAGCGUGGGGAGCGAACAGGAUUAGAUA